rnacentral:ncRNA from 1 species
GGCUCACCAAGGCAACGAUGCGUAGCCGACCUGAGAGGGUGAUCGGCCACAUUGGGACUGAGACACGGCCCAGACUCCUACGGGAGGCAGCAGUGGGGAAUAUUGCGCAAUGGGGGAAACCCUGACGCAGCAACGCCGCGUGAGUGAUGAAGGUCUUCGGAUUGUAAAGCUCUGUCUUAUGGGAAGAUAAUGACGGUACCAUAGGAGGAAGCCACGGCUAACUACGUGCCAGCAGCCGCGGUAAUACGUAGGUGGCAA